ensembl:lncRNA
CCCCGCCCCACUCCCGGCCUCCGUACACACACUGCGCCUUUCACACUCGGGCUGCCCCCGGCCCCCCUCCCCUUCUCUCCCCUUUGCAGUGUCUUCACAUGCAAUCUCUCUCUGAAUGUGCAAUGUCUUUCCUGCUCGGGAGUGCCUCGUCCUUCACAGUGGAUUGGUUCCUCUUUCGGAGCAGAGGUUAAUAAGAAAAUCUUACCAUACAAAAAUGAAGAUCCGGUUGGCAACCACUUGAAGAACCUGGACAUUCAUCAGUCUAUAGAUUCCGAUGUGUCCCAGAGUCCUGAGGAAUCUCGUUAAUGUAGCCAUCAAACCACUCUCACUGAUGUGUGAAAAGUCAUGGCAGUCAGUUUAGGAAAGACGAGGAAUUACCGGAGAGAUUCCAGAGAAGGGCUACAAAGAUGAAUAGCAUCUGGAGCAUCUCCCUUUAUGAAGAAAGACUGAGAGAUCUGAGACGGAGGCUACAGAAGACUGAGAAGGGGAUCUGAUCAAUGCUUAUAAAUUUCUAAUGGUCAGGAGUCAAGAGGACAUGACUAUGCUCUUUUCAUUGGUGCCCAGUGACAGAACAAGGGGCAAUGGAUGCAAACUGGAGCACGGGAAGUUCCAUGCAAGUAUGAGGAAAAACCUCUAUACUUUGGAGAUGACAGAACACUAGAACAAGAUGCCCAGAGUCAACCAGAAAUCUUGAAACACAGAAGACCAGUGUACCUUAUGCUAUCUCAAAAGUAAAAGACAGCACUAAGGGCAAAGCUGUCUCACAGUAUUCCACACUUCUGUUGUAUAGAGAAAGAAUUUAGGAUUUAUCUGACUGUAUCAAUUCCAUGUACUUUAGGGUAUUGAAAUCAUAUGUAGCCUGACAUUGUUUCUAUGAUUUGUUCACCAACUGGCUAUUUUGUACUCUUAUAUGUUCCUAGCACAGAUGAAUUUUUUUACAUAUAAUCAAACACUCUUUAGGGACUUAAAGUGGAAUAAUCCAAAACACACUAAAUAAUUAUAUUGCUUAAUAAAAAGUUUUUUUUUAAUUUUUUUUUUUAUUUUGGGCAAAAUUCCAAUUUCUUUUUAAAACAGAAAAAUUGUUUUCCAGAAAGAGAGCUUGAGGGACUUCUUUCAGGAAACAUUUCCUAACUCUGUUAGUUAAGGUAACUUUAUACCCCCAAGAGCAUUUUAAUCGUCAUCUUUCUAAAUAAGGAGGCUUAAAGUUAGACUUCUUACCUGCUUGCGUAAUCCUUGACUACUAAUUGCUGUAUUGUACAGUCUUUUUCUGGUUUUGCAUAAGACCUCAUCAGCAGAAGAUAACUAUCAACAUUGCAAAAUAAUUGUAGCCAAAAUACUGCUCUCAUCAUUUCUUUAUUUUUCCUGAUUAAAAACGUGUUGGCAGAAAAUGUCUGACUAGACCUAGUACCUAAGCUGUGCAUUUCUGAAGUGAAAACACUAAGGAGUGUUACCGACUUGUAACAUUUGUACAUUUAGCAUACUUAGAGAAGAAAACAACCAUUGAUCUGUGUUUGUUGAAAUAAACAUUGGCAAGAUUGUAGCUAGAAAUCUGCAAUCAGUAACUGUAUUGGUAUUUUGCCAGGAGUUCUCAGCAUCAACUGUUGCUUUAAUCUGACAGAAAGUAGGAAUUACUUCCUAGGCCUGAAUAGCUUCAAAGUUAUUUUUUAUUAAGGUACUGAAGUUUAAUCUCUGGAAUAUAUUUUUAUGAAAAAUAUGAAAGCUAAAUGUAAAAACAUAAUAAUCUGGGCAUAAUUUAUAGUAUUAAUAGAAAUGCUUUCCAUUGAUAAAACAAUCUUAGGUAUUUUAUCAGUAUAAAGUAAUUUCUUUUACCAUUCUGAAAACUUUUAAAAAUAAACACACUAUGUAUUUUUGAAAUGUAACCUUUCCCUUCUCCCCCCCCCAUUUUUUUACAUCUGUUAAUAGUUUACAUUCCCGGCAAAUAAGUCUGGUGUUUAUCAGGGGCUUGAAACAAUUAAGUACAUUUGAAUGCAUAUGGUGCUCUGAAACAUGCUUUACUCCAAG